AUGAACGCUGGCGGCGUGCCUAAUCCAUGCCAGUCGAGCGCACGGACGAGAAGCUUGCUUCUCUGAUGUUAGCGGCGGACGGGUGAGUAACACGUGGAUAACCUACCUAUAAGACUGGGAUAACUUCGGGAAACCGGCGCUAAUACCGGAUAAUAUUUUGAACCGCAUGGUUCAAAAGUGAAAGACGGUCUUGCUGUCACUUAUAGAUGGAUCCGCGCUGCAUUAGCUAGUUGGUAAGGUAACGGCUUACCAAGGCAACGAUGCAUAGCCGACCUGAGAGGGUGAUCGGCCACACUGGAACUGAGACACGGUCCAGACUCCUACGGGAGGCAGCAGUAGGGAAUCUUCCGCAAUGGGCGAAAGCCUGACGGAGCCACGCCGCGUGAGUGAUGAAGGCCUUCGGAUCGUAAAGCUCUGUUAUUAGGGAAGAACAUAUGUGUAAGUAACUGUGCACAUCUUGACGGUACCUAAUCAGAAAGCCACGGCUAACUACGUG
rnacentral:rRNA from 1 species